UACGUAGGGCGCAAGCGUUGUCCGGAAUUAUUGGGCGUAAAGAGCUCGUAGGUGGCUUGUCACGUCGGGUGUGAAAGCUUGGGGCUUAACUCCAGGUCUGCAUUCGAUACGGGCUGGCUAGAGGUAGGUAGGGGAGAACGGAAUUCCUGGUGUAGCGGUGAAAUGCGCAGAUAUCAGGAGGAACACCGGCGGCGAAGGCGGGUCUCUGGGCCGUAACUGACGCUGAGGAGCGAAAGCGUGGGGAGCGAACAGG
rnacentral:rRNA from 1 species